rnacentral:rRNA from 1 species
UAGGCGGGUAGGUAAGUCAGUGGUGAAAUCCUGGAGCUCAACUCCAGAACUGCCAUUGAUACUAUCUAUCUUGAAUAUUGUGGAGGUAAGCGGAAUAUGUCAUGUAGCGGUGAAAUGCUUAGAUAUGACAUAGAACACCCAUUGCGAAGGCAGCUUACUACGCAUAUAUUGACGCUGAGGCACGAAAGCGUGGGGAUCAAACAGGAUUAGAUACCCUGGUAGUCCACGCCCUAAACUAUGGAUACUCGACAUAUGCGAUACACUGUAUGUGUCUGAGCGAAAGCAUUAAGUAUCCCACCUGGGAAGUACGUUCGCAAGAAUGAAACUCAAAGGAAUUGGCGGGGGUCCGCACAAGCGGUGGAGUAUGUGGUUUAAUUCGAUGAUACGCGAGGAACCUUACCUGGGCUAGAAUGCUGGGAGACCGCUAGUGAAAGCUAGUUUUGUAGCAAUACACUGCCAGUAAGGUGCUGCAUGGCCGUCGUCAGCUCGUGCCGUGAGGUGUUGGGUUAAGUCCCGCAACGAGCGCAACCCCUAUCUUUAGUUGCCAACAGGUAAUGCUGGGAACUCUAAAGAAACUGCCGCCGUAAGGUGUGAGGAAGGAGGGGAUGAUGUCAGGUCAUCAUGGCCUUUAUGCCCAGGGCUACACACGUACUACAAUGGGGAAGACAAAGGGCUGCAACAUAGCGAUAUGAAGCCAAUCCCAAAAACUUCCUCUCAGUUCAGAUUGCAGGCUGCAACUCGCCUGCAUGAAGCUGGAAUCGCUAGUAAUCGUAUAUCAGCAAUGAUACGGUGAAUACGUUCCCGGACCUUGCACACACCGCCCGUCAAGCCAUGGGAGUCGGGUGUACCUCAGUCGGUAACCGUAAGGAGCUGCCUAG